GACCACGAACGCUUGCGGGCGGCGGUUAAAACCGAAGUGGUAUGAAUCCUGGGGUCGGAGGUUCGAAUCCUCUUGUGGACACCA
rnacentral:tRNA from 1 species